GGCGUACCCGACGACCACGGCGACUGCAGCCACGGCGAGCGUGGAGCCGACGGCGAUGGGCACCGUCUCGUCCUGCGGGAACGGGUCCUGGACGCCGGCCAUGCGCACCUGGCUGCAUCGGUGCGCUGCGUGGAGGGGUGAUGGUGAAGAAGACCUGGAACUUGGCCAGUAUGCAGACCGUGCCAUCGGUGGCGUUCCAGACGCCGAACGAGAACUCCGGGAUGGGCGCCUUCGGAGGCACGAGCGGGGCUCCGGCCGCGGGCGCCGCACCGCCAGCAGCUGCCGGCCCUGCGGCCAGCAACGGCACGGGUGUUCAGCGCGCUUCCGACGCCCACACAGAGGGAGACUUCAGCCAGCUAUCGUAUACCUCUUUCCGGCGGCACACAUACGGUAUUAGUCGUGGUCGACGGCCAGGCCAGCCAGUCCCGGUCUACAAUGCUACAAAGGUGACCGAGAGUGGGAUCGAACCUUUCAGCACAGCAGCAGCAGCAGCAGCCUCAUUCUCUGUUAGACCAAGAUGAAACACAUUGUUCUCUCGUGCCAAAGUCACUCUUUGAGACCUCUGGCCCACGUGUCACGUGCCAAUUUACCGCCUCGUAACAGCUAGCGUUUCGAGACGCUGUGCUAGGCUGCACUGCCUUCGGCAUCGGUCCACAAUUUCGUCGGGCGGACACGUUCGAAGUGGGUGCAAUCCGAUUGUGAUGCCAUCGUCAUUAACAAACGAAACAAAAUCAUUAAAACAGCAACGUGGCUCUGCCAGAAAGAACUGUGGCGUGGUGGCUCGCA